AAGGUUAGCACUCCCCUUGAUAAGGAUGGAAGAGGUCCCAGUGGCCUUUACAACAUGUAUAUGGUUAAGGCAUUGCCACUUACUUCGUGGCAUCUAACCCCCCACAUAA